AUAUAGACACACACACUAAAAUCCUGCAUAGUGUGUGAUACUAGUUGUUAUUUCUCCAUAUACCUUUCCCUACGUCUGUUCUCCUUUUUUCCGCUCCCCGCACUACAGCCCCUACUCCCUCCGUGUUCGGCUCUGUGCUCUCCUGUCUCCGAAGCCUCAUAGCUCCGCUCUGGUCGUGAAGGAGACCCGGGCUCCGUUUUAAACCCCCACAAAAAAAAACAAAAAAAACACGUCGAUCGAUUUACAUGCGACUCCGGCAGGGAAUCAAGAAUCGACUUUAACAAGCCCUCACAAUGUCCAAAAAGGAAUAAAAUGAAAACUGAAGAGUGCUAGUGAGAAAAGUAAAGAACGGUUUCCAAAUGAAUAACACAGCGGACAAAACAUCCACCAAAAACAAAAAGGACUUUGAAAGUCAGUUCAGCUUCCAGAAACCAGGAUCGUACAAACGUUUGAUGAUGGGGCAGAACAAUAAAGAAGAGUACACAGAAAGGCUGACAGAUUUGCUAAAGUACAGAUAUACGACGUUUCCCUUUCGCCGGACAUAGACGGACCCGCACGCUGGACUAAUGUGCUCCUUUCCUGGGUACGAGCAUGAGCAGAUCCCGCUACGCUCAGCACCACCUCUUCCGCGAUCUUCCUCUAAAUCUCUCAUUCUGUUGUCAUUGUUUUUACUUUCUGCACCCACCAACAAAAAAAGCACGUUUUGUUUCAAAAUCCAGUUUGUUUGUCUUUCUGCAACAUUUAAAAGGAAUCGCUAUGUCUUUCUCCGUUUCUUUUCUCCCAAGCCCUGAGAGGAACCAGGACGUGCACAGAUGUAAACACAGCUAUAAGGGAACCUAUGCGUAAAUGGAGCCACAAGUGACUAGAGUUAUCUGCUGAAUGACUUGAAGACAGAAUGUUCAACAUUCAAUUACUUGAAGAUGGAAUAUGCCUGCAAAAGUGUGCCUGUCUCAACCACACACCAACCUGCCCUGCUGACAGACCUUCAUUCACUCUCCGAGAGCCCAGGAAGAAGCCCUUUGGCAGUGCUGGCAGAAGAAUGUCCCCCAUGUUCCCAGCCCUUUCCCCCGGCUGGGAGAGUUUCUCACGCCUGGCUGUGAGAAUGGCAAUGGAGCCAGGAGGACUGUCCCAGCCUAGCCUGGACUGGGGCUCAGAGUGCAGACCACACACUGCAGACUUUCUUGUCAUAGAAUCAUAUAGGUAUAUAGGUUAUAGGUCAUCUGCACACUAAUUUACAGUUAAGCAUGUUUUGUUAAGCGUGUUUAUAUGUAUUAACUGUUCUUUACUAUGGUUAAUUUGCUCUUUAUCAUACUUUGUCACAGUACCCAGGAAACUACCACAGGAAAUAUUUACAUGGUGACCAUCAUCAUUUUUUUUUAGCUUAUUCCUCAUUAACUUACAGAACCACCUGCCAACCUCCCGUCAAUCCCCUAUCAAAGCCGGUCAGAUCUGAGGUCUUGAGCUUUGUGACAAAAAAUGACUUGCAACAGGGAGAUGCAGAUUUCAUAUAUUACAGAACACAUGUCAGAAAUGCCAUUGGCAUAACACAUGAAUCAGACAUGCAAGAGUUCACCCAUUUACACAGAAAUGCACAUCUUAUGCAGUUUGGGCAAGAGCACUGCAAAGUACAGGAUGCCAUCUGUACAUAUGAUAAGAUGUUCUGGAAUAUCGACAAAUCCAUAACGGACCGGUUUCUUAUACAUGGUUUAUAAUGAACUAUAGAAAUAUUUUCUUCUGGGUGCCCAUACAAAAAAGAUUAUGAAAGCAUGGUCAAGCACAAGCAAAUAUGGUAGAGUGCCUUGUAAAACUUGGUAAAAACUAAGGUAAAUGCAUUGUACUGUGACUAUUUUUCUGUCUCCCUCUGUAUAUUGAUUACUCUAUAGUGAAACAGUUUAAUAGAUUUGUCACUAACCUUUCUCUUCACUAUUCUGCAGCUGCUGUCUCUCCACCUGUCCCUGUCAGCAGCUGCAUAUCUCCCCCUCUAAUUACUAAGUGACAGAAAGGCAAUAGUGACCACUUCAUUAUCAGAUAACCAUGUUCCUGUUACACUGCCCUGUAGCCCCAGACCUCUCUGGCCAGUCUGACCUUCCUCACCCUCCUCGCUACAGGUCAGUAAUUGGAAUACAUCAACUGGAAGUUUGCUGUGGUACACAGGUCAUAGGCCUUGGGGACAUUUAUUGAUUUUUUUUUUUGUUACACGUGUUGGGUAGCCAAAUAGUUACAGCUAUAGACAGGAAGAAGGCAGUGGGACCUAGUAUAGUUGGUAGAAUCUUAGGUAAGCUGGGUGACUUAGUGGUUAGAGCUGAGGAACUGUGUGAGAGAAAGUAUGGCCAAGUGGUUAGAGUUGAGUGACUGAGAGGUAGACAGUGUGGCCUAUUGGUUUAGCUAACUGAUAGGGAGGCAGUGUGGUCUAGUGGUUAAGCUACCUGGUAGGGAGGCAGUGUAGUCUAGUUGUCAGUGCUGAAGAACCAAGAUGAUGUUAGUAUGACAUAGUGGUUACAGCGAGGGAACUGGGAGGUAAGCAGUGUGGCUUAGUGGUUAGAGCUGAGUUACUGGGAGGGAGGCAGUGUGGCCUUUGCUAAAUAGCGUUUCAUUCUGUUUAUCUCUGAGGGACCCAAGUUCAAAUGCAGCCCCUGUCUGAAUAAGGUUAUUGGAUUUUAGCACAGAUCCCUCUCUUUGAAAACAAUUCCCAAUGGGUGCAAUCCCCCAAGGUGAAAAUAAGUUCUUUUUCUCUUACAUACUGAAACGGAAAUGGGCUCCAGCAGCAAGGAAAAACCUGUUACUUUUAACUAAAAACGUUGCCAAUUUAACACCAUCUGUUUGUUCAGCUGAGUCCCUCACCAGCCCGUGAAGUUAAAGGGACCUGGCAGUGAUCAAUACUUUUACAAAUCAGUAGUAUUAGUUACUCUCCGGCUCCUCUAGGGUUAAUCCAUCUGGCCAAAUAAAAUAUCUGUCAGCCUUUUUGGCUGCUAACCACAUUAAUUGACUUGUGGGCUUGUGGAUAGGGAUUUGUGACUCUGAAUGUGUUUUUGUGUGUGAAGAGAGAGAGAGUUGGUGUUUACACAUGUCGACAAAAUGAGAAAGAACUCAGUAGUGAGACAUGCCAGUAGUUUUGUGGCCCCACAGCUGUAGAACAUUUAACUACUGGAUUAAAACAAAUUAAUAAAGUCAUAGUAUAUUUUCCCCUGCAAGUAUUUGAAAGUUUUGGAAUUGAAUGUUGAAAGUUGUUUUUAAAACCGUUAUAAUAACUCUCCUUUGUUUUUACAUUCUUUAUGCUAAUUGGCAAAUAAGGCCCUUUUUUCUAACUUCUUAUAAACAGAAGACAACUAUCCAACAUCAGAACUUUGAAUAAUAACAACACGUGAUUUUUACAAAAAUUGAACAACUUCUAAAAAAAACUUUUAAAUAAGGUGGGAUACUCUUAGCAUGAAUACACUUUAUUUUCAGUGGCAUUUUUAUGUUUAUUACCUGGUAAGAACUAGUUUCCAAAUGGCUUUAGCCGCUGACUUUGUGCUCUGUCAACAUUUUACCCCUUGAUAAUUUCCCUAUUUCAUACUUUGCUGAUCUUUCUCAACUUACAGCACUUUUUUAUUCUCCAAAACAUGGUUAGGUACCGCUAAGCAUAAAGGUUGGCAUUGAUUUUGCAGUAAAAAAACAAAAACAAACAAACAAACAAAACUUCAUGAUGGUUCUGUUACACAUUGACUAUAAUGGCAUGACAUAUACUGUAUACCUAUUUAGUAUUUUAUGAAUCGUUUACUGUAGAUUAACUAACCAUGAACAAGAACAAACAAUACAUGUUAAAAGCUGGACAGAGUUGGAGAGAGGCCAUCCAAUCCUUCACUCCUUGUUCUUGUGGAGGUCGUUAUAAUCUUCAGUCUCCCAAGUGCACAAACACAUUACAGGAAUACUUAUAUCUUCUACUUAUUCCUGAUAUUUAAUUUUGUAUCUGUUAAAAAUCCUAUGUUUGUUCUGUAGGAUGCUCCACUGUAGUUUCUGCAUAGAUCAUUAUUUGCAAUGCUUCCAGCCAAAUUGCUUCUGAAAGGACUCCUCAAGGCUGAAAAGAGGUGGGGAGGCAUAUUAGCAUUGCCCUAGCACACUGAAGCCCAUAGAUGUACAGCCUGUCUCAUACUGAUAUUCUUCCCCGUCUCACUUUCCCACAACCUACCUUGAAAUGUUUUUAUAGAAAUAAUUUAUUGCUGGAAUAGUUGGUAAGAAAGGCAAAUAAGGAUCAAAGCAGAAACAAUAGCAGAUAAUCAUACAGAGGUU